rnacentral:rRNA from 1 species
AUUGAACGCUGGCGGCAGGCCUAACACAUGCAAGUCGAGCGAGCGGCGGACGGGUGAGUAAUGUAUGGGGACUGCCCGAUAGAGGGGGAUAACUACUGGAAACGGUAGCUAAUACCGCAUACUAUCGGAUAACCCAUAUGGGAUUAGCUAGUAGGUGAGGUAAGGGCUCACCUAGGCGACGAUCCCUAGCUGAUCUGAGAGGAUGAUCAGCCACACGAGGACGGAGACACGACCCGGACUACAACCGAGGCAGCAGUGGGGAAUAUUACACUAUGGGCGCAAGCCUGAUGCAGCCAUGCCGCGUGUAUGAAGAAGGCCCUAGGGUUGUAAAGUACUUUCAGUCGGGAGGCGUUACCGAAAGAAGAAGCACCGGCUAACUCCGUGCCAGCAGCCGCGGUAAUUC